rnacentral:rRNA from 1 species
UAGGGAAUCUUCGGCAAUGGACGAAAGUCUGACCGAGCAACGCCGCGUGAGUGAAGAAGGUUUUCGGAUCGUAAAACUCUGUUGUUAGAGAAGAACAAGGACGUUAGUAACUGAACGUCCCCUGACGGUAUCUAACCAGAAAGCCACGGCUAACUACGUGCCAGCAGCCGCGGUAAUACGUAGGUGGCAAGCGGUGUCCGGAUUUAUUGGGCGUAAAGCGAGCGCAGGCGGUUUCUUAAGUCUGAUGUGAAAGCCCCCGGCUCAACCGGGGAGGGUCAGUGGAAACUGGGGGACUUGAGUGCAGAAGAGGAGAGUGGAAUUCCAUGUGUAGCGGUGAAAUGCGUAGAUAUAUGGAGGAACACCAGUGGCGAAGGCGGCUCUCUGGUCUGUAACUGACGCUGAGGCUCGAAAGCGUGGGGAGCAAACAGG